CCUACGGGUGGCAGCAGUGAGGAAUAUUGGUCAAUGGGCGGAAGCCUGAACCAGCCAAGUAGCGUGCAGGAUGACGGCCCUACGGGUUGUAAACUGCUUUUGUCCGGGAAUAAGGCGCCUUACGUGUAGGGCUUUGCAUGUACCGUAAGAAUAAGGAUCGGCUAAAUCCGUGCCAGCAGCCGCGGUAAUACGGAAGGUUCGGGCGUUAUCCGGAUUUAUUGGGUUUAAAGGGAGCGUAGGCCGGAGGUCAAGUGUGCGGUGAAAUGUCCGGGCUCAACCCGGGCCUUGCAGCGCGAACUGGGGUGCUUGAGUGCGCGGAGGGUAGGCGGAAUUCGUGGUGUAGCGGUGAAAUGCUUAGAUAUGACGCAGAACUCCGAUUGCGAAGGCAGCUUGCUGCAGCGGAACUGACGCUGAUGCUCGAAAGCGCGGGUAUCGAACAGGAUUAGAUACCCUUGUAGUC
rnacentral:rRNA from 1 species